rnacentral:rRNA from 1 species
CGCGUAGGCGGUUUUUUAGGUCUGAUGUGAAAGCCCACGGCUCAACCGUGGAGGGUCAUUGGAAACUGGAAAACUUGAGUGCAGAAGAGGAAAGUGGAAUUCCAUGUGUAGCGGUGAAAUGCGCAGAGAUAUGGAGGAACACCAGUGGCGAAGGCGACUUUCUGGUCUGUAACUGACGCUGAUGUGCGAAAGCGUGGGGAUCAAACA